rnacentral:rRNA from 1 species
UACAGAGGGGGCAAGCGUUAUUCGGAAUUAUUGGGCGUAAAGGGCGCGUAGGCGGCUUUGCAAGUGACGGGUGAAAUCCCUCGGCUUAACCGAGGAACUGCCUGUCAGACUGCAUGGCUUGAGACCAGGAGAGGUGAGUGGAAUUCCCAGUGUAGCGGUGAAAUGCGUAGAUAUUGGGAGGAACACCAGUGGCGAAGGCGGCUCACUGGACUGGUACUGACGCUGAGGUGCGAAAGCGUGGGGAGCAAACAGG